AGUAUAUUAGAAAGGAAAUAGCCACUUUUUCUGAAACUGGCAGUAUACGAGGCUUAAAAAUAUGUAAUUGGUGUUGAAACAAAAUUAAAAAUUUAUGAGUUAGAUGAAUGGUAGGUAACAUUUUGGGAAGUCGUAAACAAGACAGAGUAGUAAAAGCAUCUUGUUCGUGAUGAUGAGUGUAGCCUUGUACAACAGGAUUUAUAGCACUGGAAGCAAGAAUAGAGUAUGAGCAAUGAGCAUACCGUCUUGGAAAAAUCUGUGACAGACUUAGGAUCUUUGUGAAAGACCAAUCAAUAAUUACAUUUGAAGACAGCCUUUUUUUUUUUUUUAAGAUUUUUUUUUACGUAUUCAUGAGAGAUACAAAUUGAGAGGCAGAGCAGAGGGAGAAACAGGAUCCCUGCAGGAAGCCUGAUGCAGAACUUGAUCCCUGGACCCCAGGAUCAUGACCUGAGUCAAAGGCAGAGGCUCAACCACUGAGCCACCCAGGUGUCCCAAAGAUAGCCUUUUAAAUUGAUUCAUAUUAUUGACAGCAAAUCUGAAUGGUUUCUCUGUUACCCAUAAAUUGAAACAAAGUAAAAAAGAUAUUGAUAAAAGCAGGAAGACAACCAUUAUUUCACAUGAAUUAAGAAGCCUAAAUCAGAAUGACCACAUGGGCAUUACAGAUGAACAUAAUAUGAUUUUCCUUUCAGGUAUGACCAUUUUUGCCUUGGUCCUGGUAAAACAAAGGCUUACCUCCAGGGGAAUGAGUGAGCAAUAUGUAACUGUGACCAUUAAGAGGAAAGGAAAACUUUUGACUUUUUGUGAAGUGCAAGUAAUUGUGCCAGGGCUAGUGGAAGAAGGUACUAGAAGCUUUUCGGUUCCUGGAUCUAAAGAUGCCAGUUUCCCCCAGGGGGCCAAUGGAGAAGGAAGUUCUAUUGGUUUAUAUGCUUUCUUCCUCUGAAACAUUUUCAAUUUCAUUAUUCUCCAAAACAAUUAAUAUUCAACACAAUGUUGGGUGAUAUCAUUUGAAUUUUAUUUUUCUAAAAUUUGGUAUUUUUUAUAUACUGCCUUACCUUUGUGCCUGCUACAUUCCUCUUCUUUUAUUUCUCCCUUCUUGAGCUUCACAUCCAUUCAGAAGUCUCUUAAACCUACAAAACAUUGCAUCUGACCUGACCUGUAACAAUUUGGAAACUUUGUUCUACCUAGAGUGAUGGAGUUCAUAAGAAGAGUGAACUGCAGUUGAGUGAUUUCAUUGGUCUCCUUGAUUGGUUCUCUCUGAAGGGAAAAAUAAGAUUCUGUCCAUUGAAAUGGAAGGUGGCCACUAAUUCUAGUGCUGUAAGAUCUUUGAGAUUUCAAGAAAGCAAUGGAUGGGGUCUCCAGAAACUGACUUUGAUAAGGGCUCCAUUUUUCAAAUAUGGCUGGAGACUGACCCCCAGGAGAUGGUAGAUCUGGGAUCUUUGGAGACUGCAAAUAGUGGUGAUUAUGAACCUAAGGGACUGUUAUCAGGAGGAGAUUGAUAAACCUGCAACUGAUUGGAGACUCACCUGGUAAUUGUGAGAAGUUAAAUCUGAGGGCAAGCUUCAUGUUCAGUGCAAUCCCUAACAAAAUACCAUGGACUUUCUUCAG